UACGUAGGGGGCAAGCGUUAUCCGGAUUUACUGGGUGUAAAGGGAGCGUAGACGGUUAUGCAAGUCUGAAGUGAAAGCCCAAGGCUCAACCAUGGGACUGCUUUGGAAACUGUAAAACUGGAGUGCAGGAGAGGUAAGCGGAAUUCCUAGUGUAGCGGUGAAAUGCGUAGAUAUUAGGAGGAACGCCAGUGGCGAAGGCGGCUUACUGGACUGUAACUGACGUUGAGGCUCGAAGGCGUGGGGAGCAAACAGG
rnacentral:rRNA from 1 species